rnacentral:misc_RNA from 1 species
GUAACAAGGUUUCCGUAGGUGAACCUGCGGAAGGAUCAUUACAGUAUUCUUUUGCCAGCGCUUAACUGCGCGGCGAAAAACCUUACACACAGUGUCUUUUUGAUACAGAACUCUUGCUUUGGUUUGGCCUAGAGAUAGGUUGGGCCAGAGGUUUAACAAAACACAAUUUAAUUAUUUUUACAGUUAGUCAAAUUUUGAAUUAAUCUUCAAAACUUUCAACAACGGAUCUCUUGGUUCUCGCAUCGAUGAAGAACGCAGCGAAAUGCGAUAAGUAAUAUGAAUUGCAGAUUUUCGUGAAUCAUCGAAUCUUUGAACGCACAUUGCGCCCUCUGGUAUUCCAGAGGGCAUGCCUGUUUGAGCGUCAUUUCUCUCUCAAACCCCCGGGUUUGGUAUUGAGUGAUACUCUUAGUCGGACUAGGCGUUUGCUUGAAAAGUAUUGGCAUGGGUAGUACUGGAUAGUGCUGUCGACCUCUCAAUGUAUUAGGUUUAUCCAACUCGUUGAAUGGUGUGGCGGGAUAUUUCUGGUAUUGUUGGCCCGGCCUUACAACAACCAAACAAGUUUGACCUCAAAUCAGGUAGGAAUACCCGCUGAACUUAAGCAUAUC